UACGUAGGGUGCAGGCGUUAAUCGGAAUUACUGGGCGUAAAGCGUGCGCAGGCGGUUUGCUAAGACAGGUGUGAAAUCCCCCGGGCUUAACCUGGGAACUGCGCUUGUUACUGGCAAGCUGGAGUGUGGCAGAGGGGGGGUGGAAUUCCACGUGUAGCAGUGAAAUGCGUAGAGAUGUGGAGGAACACCGAUGGCGAAGGCAGCCCCCUGGGCUAACACUGACGCCUCAUGCACGAAAGCGUGGGGAGCAAACAGG
rnacentral:rRNA from 1 species